UCACUGUACAGCGAAUCACUAGGCUCGCAGCUCGAGGAAGAGCAUUGCAUUAUGUGAUAAUUUCUGUGAAAUGCACAGCACACUGAACAGAAAAUACUUGAACGCAAAUUACAGUUGCGGGUAUAAUACCUGCGACUACAUCUGUCUGGGGCGGAUACUACU
rnacentral:rRNA from 1 species